UACAGAGGUCCCAAGCGUUGUUCGGAUUCAUUGGGCGUAAAGGGUGCGUAGGUGGCGCUGUAAGUCGGGUGUGAAAUCUCGGGGCUUAACUCCGAAACUGCAUUCCAUACUGCGGUGCUUGAGGACUGGAGAGGAGACUGGAAUUCAUGGUGUAGCAGUGAAAUGCGUAGAGAUCAUGAGGAAGACCAGUGGCGAAGGCGGGUCUCUGGACAGUUCCUGACACUGAGACACGAAGGCCAGGGAGCAAACGGG
rnacentral:rRNA from 1 species